CAAACUAAAUUUCCCACAGCACUGAUUGGACAAGCAAUGCAAUGUGAUCAUCUGCAGCCAGUGAUGGCCAAGCGGCGGUGCCAUAACUGAUUGAUAUGUUGAGUCGCGUGUGUCUUACCCUCCAUGGCAGAGGCUCCGUCGAACCCCUGAGACCGACUCACCGAAUCCCUGGGGUUCGAUCGAACCCAGGUUAAGAACCACUGGUCUAAUCACUGGUGAGCUAUUUUUGGAAUAGGCCCGCGGGCGACUCAUGUAGUCCUUGAGGGCUCCUUGGUGCCCACGGGCACCAUGUUGGUCACGCCUGCUCUAAAAUUUCAGCCCAGACAAGGAGAGCACUGCUUAGAGAUGCAGCCAAGAGCCCCAUGAUCACUUUGGAUGAACUGCGGCGAUCAACAACAGAGGAGGGGUAAUCUGUCCAUAGGACAACUAUUUGUUGCAUACUGCACAAAUUUGGCCUUUAUGGAAGAGUGUCAAGAAGAAAGCAUUACUCAAAUGCAACAAUAAAAACUGCUUUUCUUCAGCAGGGACUAUCAGAAGAUGGUUAAAAUUGAUGGGUAGAUAGAUUGGUCCUGUAUUUGGCUCUUUUU